CGGUUGGCUGUUCCGGGUUCGGAGGCAGCGAUGAGUCACUUGAUUGGUUGAAAUGCGGUUGGAAUCGAAAGCAGAGGCUUCAGUCGCCAUUUUCUGACCGAGAUCGUGUGGAUAACAGAAAGCUUCAUAAAAUUAUGGAUAAAAAUGCAGUGAAUUAUGGAACGCGCAGCGCCACCAUGCGCCACGUGGACGCGCACGGAGCCGAGCUAUUUGUGGAUUAUUUACUUAUUUCUAGACAUGUUUUGGACAAAAUAUGAUACUUGCUAGUAUUGUCUGGAUGACUACUCUUGGAUUAUGGCCAGUUUUUGUGGAUUAUUUUCAUCGUUGACCGGUAAAAGACCAUCGAAAGAUAAUCCUCCAAUGCAGAAGCUUUGUCCUGAAAAUAUCCUGCAGGCUGGACACCUAACAGAGUAUGGUACAGUACAUCAUCGUGAUGCAGCUGGACACGUCAUCAGGGAUGUUUUUUGGGCUCAUUGGGUGUUUUGAGUCUUUCUACCUAAGACAUCGUCACCCAGGUUACCCAGUUGGAGUUGGUCGACCCUCCCCUUGCAUCCAUGCCACCGACAGGAGCUUGGGCUCCAUGUGACGCUUCUCUGUGUGGAGCGGAUGGUACACAACAGCUGCUACUGGACCCAAAUAUCACAGCCUGCGUCACACUGCUCGGCCUGUGAAUAAUCAUGUGUGUUGCAGGUUGGAGAUGGUGAUGCUUCCUGUGACAGUUUUUCUCUCCUUUGUGUUGUGUUCUGUUUUAUACAAAAAAAAUGUUUGCAAGGUGAAAAAGAAAAAUGCACGUGUGUACUUAAAUUAGCACAUGAAUGCAUGCUUUUAAAAAAAUCUAUUCAAGUGAUACACAUACUUAAAUAUUCACACGUCAGACUGGAGUCUUGACAUAAUUUUACUGUAAAAUGUCAUUUUUGCUUUGUCAUAUAUAUUUUUGUAGUGAUAUGAGUAGAAAAAGUCCUUUUUCCCAUUUGAAUUUAAAGUUGCCACUGCUGUCGGUCCACAUGCAUAAAUGUGUGCAACUCUCUCAUAUAGAUCCUGCCACUGUCUGGUGUUUCAGGUAUUUAAUUAACUUCAAAAGAAAGACUCUUUCAGAGGGGAAUCAGGAAAGGACCCAGAUGCAGACACAUCCGGUGAGUAAGUUGCAGCAAUAAAAAAGGACAUUUUAAUCAAAAACUUAGUUAAACAAGACAGAUGGAUGAAUAAGCAAAAGUUGGCUGGUAAUCCAUGAAGAAAAAGUCCCUAACAGAAAAAAUCCACAAGGAACAUAAUCCAAAAAACAUGAUGGCACAGAGGGCUGAACAGACAGGAAGGUGAACAAGAUCCAUGUACUGAGUAGACAAACAGGUGGCAAUCAGGCAGGCAAUCCAGAGGAGAAACAAGAUCCAAAGAAACUAAAUGCACAAACCGAGACACAAGCGAGGAACAUAAGGGCAGGUAACAGGAAGGGAAACACGAGGAUAAACAACAGUACCAACUGGCAAAAGACAAGGCAAGACACAGAACUAAUAAGCAAACAAGACACAGGUGAAACUAAUGUGCCGGCAGACAAUCAAAAAAG